rnacentral:rRNA from 1 species
GGUGUACCUGACCCGAAAUGUCUAAAGGGGAAAUUCAUUCUCGUUUCGUCUCGUCGCACGCGGCGUGCCUUAUCGCGUGCUACACUCACCGCUUACGUGGUGGGUGUGUGUGUGUGCGUGUAAGUGCGGCGAGCGUGCGUGUCGGUGACGGACGGGGUCUCGAGCGACGAACGAUGAUGCGUUCGCGCGCGCGUCGUUUGCGCCGCCGUCCUCCGUACGUUGUUGUCCGGCGUCGAACGCGUGCACUUUUCCCCUAGUAGGACGUCGCGAUCCGUUGGGUGUCGGUCUAAGGGCCGCGAUGGAGACCGCGCGGACGUCUUCGAACGACGAGUCGCGCGGACUCGCGGUUUUUUACGGCGGGCGAGCGGGAAGGGACGAUAUUUGUCGUUCUAUACCGUUCUCUCGAUCGGCCGACCGACUCGCUCGACGGUAGGAAUGAGGCGUUGAGCCGCUGAUACACACUAGAUUAGCGUUCGGUCGGCGGCAAGCGCGUACGCCGUCCGUGUAGUGUUGUCGCCUUGUGUGACCUCAUCAAGCGSACGGAUGACGAUGAUGUUGAUGGUCAUCGUCAUGAUGGCGACGAUCGGACCCGGUGCCGAUCCCGUCUCCGGACGACUGUUGGCCGCCGAUAUUCUCGAACGGCUCUCCAUUCGGCGGGUAUGUCGUCAUUAUUGUCGUUAUUAUUACGAUGAUGUGRAU